UGCAGAUGUAGCUCAGUGGUAGAGCGCAACCUUGCCAAGGUUGAUGUCGUGGGUUCGAAUCCCAUCAUCUGCU
rnacentral:tRNA from 1 species